GAACGCUGGCGGCGUGCUUAACACAUGCAAGUCGAACGGAAAGGCCCUGCUUUUGUGGGGUGCUCGAGUGGCGAACGGGUGAGUAACACGUGAGUAACCUGCCCUUGACUUUGGGAUAACUUCAGGAAACUGGGGCUAAUACCGGAUAGGAGCUCCUGCUGCAUGGUGGGGGUUGGAAAGUUUCGGCGGUUGGGGAUGGACUCGCGGCUUAUCAGCUUGUUGGUGGGGUAGUGGCUUACCAAGGCUUUGACGGGUAGCCGGCCUGAGAGGGUGACCGGCCACAUUGGGACUGAGAUACGGCCCAGACUCCUACGGGAGGCAGCAGUGGGGAAUAUUGCACAAUGGGCGGAAGCCUGAUGCAGCAACGCCGCGUGCGGGAUGACGGCCUUCGGGUUGUAAACCGCUUUCGCCUGUGACGAAGCGUGAGUGACGGUAAUGGGUAAAGAAGCACCGGCUAACUACGUGCCAGCAGCCGCGGUGAUACGUAGGGUGCGAGCGUUGUCCGGAUUUAUUGGGCGUAAAGGGCUCGUAGGUGGUUGAUCGCGUCGGAAGUGUAAUCUUGGGGCUUAACCCUGAGCGUGCUUUCGAUACGGGUUGACUUGAGGAAGGUAGGGGAGAAUGGAAUUCCUGGUGGAGCGGUGGAAUGCGCAGAUAUCAGGAGGAACACCAGUGGCGAAGGCGGUUCUCUGGGCCUUUCCUGACGCUGAGGAGCGAAAGCGUGGGGAGCGAACAGGCUUAGAUACCCUGGUAGUCCACGCUGUAAACGGUGGGUACUAGGUGUGGGGUCCAUUCCACGGGUUCCGUGCCGUAGCUAACGCUUUAAGUACCCCGCCUGGGGAGUACGGCCGCAAGGCUAAAACUCAAAGGAAUUGACGGGGCCCCGCACAAGCGGCGGAGCAUGCGGAUUAAUUCGAUGCAACGCGUAGAACCUUACCUGGGUUUGACAUGGAACGGGAGUGCUCAGAGAUGGGUGUGCCUCUUUUGGGGUCGGUUCACAGGUGGUGCAUGCCUGUCGUCAGCUCGUGUCGUGAGAUGUUGGGUUAAGUCCCGCAACGAGCGCAACCCUUGUUCACUGUUGCCAGCACGUUAUGGUGGGGACUCAGUGGAGACCGCCGGGGUCAACUCGGAGGAAGGUGGGGAUGACGUCAAGUCCUCAUGCCCCUUAUGUCCAGGGCUUCACGCAUGCUACAAUGGCUGGUACAGAGAGUGGCGAGCCUGUGAGGGUGAGCGAAUCUCGGAAAGCCGGUCUCAGUUCGGAUUGGGGUCUGCAACUCGACCUCAUGAAGUCGGAGUCGCUAGUAAUCGCAGAUCAGCAACGCUGCGGUGAAUACGUUCCCGGGGCUUGUACACACCGCCCGUCAAGUCAUGAAAGUUGGUAACACCCGAAGC
rnacentral:rRNA from 1 species